GCAAGGAACACCAGCGUAGUUCCCGAUCAUGGUGGUGGUGACGUCGCAGUUGGGCCCUGUGACAGCCACCGUAUGCAGUCGAUGGGCUGAAAGAGGUAAAACAUUGUUCUCAUUCUUGAGGAGGACGAUCCCUUGACGGGCCGCCUCGAGUGCCAACUCCUGAUGGGCCGGAGUGCAAACAUCGUUGGGGCCCAAGUUACCGAAGGGCUGCUUGGAGGGCUCACCAUCGUACAUCCCGAGCCUCAUUUGCACAGUGAUGGUG
rnacentral:misc_RNA from 1 species